GCGGGCAGUCGGAGCCUGCAGCGCACAGGGCGAGAGCCGGGCCGUCAGCGCCGCUUGGCCCAGCCCCGGAGCGCCUCCCGUCGCCUGAGGACCCCAGCCGGCGAGCCAGAGACCCGGCAGCCCUAGACAGCACGCUCCUUUCCGUAAGCUGGGGCGCCGUGAGGCCGAGGGCCUGCAGCCUUGGCUGGGCGCUGCGCUCUCCCCGCUCGCGGAGAUCCAGCGGAUGGUGUUAUUACCAACGAGAAGGAGCUCCGCGCGGGGUGGCCGGCUGGAACCCAACCAGCGAGGUGACCUGGCCUCUCUCCCGGGCUCUAAGGAGACAACUUGGUUCUCCAGCAUCCCUGCCACCCGCUUCCCACCCCAGCUCAGUCCAGUGUAGCAGCACUAGAACCCAGACCCGGAGAGGACGGUGUGAGUGACGGCUGAGGCUGUUCAGUCCUCUGUCUAGCGGCACGACGGACAACCCUACCCCCUGACCCGCACUAUUCGAGCGUUGCGACCCAGCACUCACCCAGCAGCACCCCCAGGGUGGCGGGCCCGG